rnacentral:rRNA from 1 species
UACAGAGGGGGCAAGCGUUGUUCGGAAUUACUGAGCGUAAAGGGCGCGUAGGCGGCCCGCUAAGUCGAACGUGAAAUCCCCGGGCUCAACCCGGGAACUGCGUCCGAUACUGGCAGGCUUGAAUCCGGGAGAGGGAUGCGGAAUUCCAGGUGUAGCGGUGAAAUGCGUAGAUAUCUGGAGGAACACCGGUGGCGAAGGCGGCAUCCUGGACCGGUAUUGACGCUGAGGCGCGAAAGCCAGGGGAGCAAACGGGG